UAGGGAAUAUUAGUAAUGGGCGAAAGCCUGAACUAGCAACGCCGCGUGUGCGAAGAAGGCCUUCGGGUUGUAAAGCACUUUUUGAGAGGAUGAGGAAGGACGGUACUCUCAGAAUAAGUCUCGGCUAACUACGUGCCAGCAGCCGCGGUAACACGUAGGAGGCGAACGUUAUCCGGAUUUACUGGGCGUAAAGCGCGUGUAGGUGGUUUGGUAAGUAGGGCGUGAAAGCUCCUGGCUCAACUGGGAGAGGCCGUUCUAAACUGCCGAACUAGAGGAUGGUAGAGGGAGGUGGAAUUCCGGGUGUAGCGGUGGAAUGCGCAGAUAUCCGGAGGAACACCAGUGGCGAAAGCGGCCUCCUGGACCACUCCUGACACUCAGACGCGAAAGCUAGG
rnacentral:rRNA from 1 species